UACGUAGGGGGCAAGCGUUGUCCGGAUUUAUUGGGCGUAAAGCGCGUGUAGGCGGCCAGAUAGGUCUGCUGUGAAAACUCGAGGCUCAACCUCGAGCUGUCGGCGGAAACCAUCUGGCUAGAGUCCGGAAGAGGAGAGUGGAAUUCCUGGUGUAGCGGUGAAAUGCGCAGAUAUCAGGAAGAACACCUAUGGCGAAGGCAGCUCUCUGGGACGGUACUGACGCUGAGACGCAAAAGCGUGGGGAGCGAACAGG
rnacentral:rRNA from 1 species